GUUUCUCUGUGUAGCCUUGGCUGUCCUGGAACUCACUUUGUAGACCAGGCUGGCCUUGAACUCAGAGAUUCACCUGCCUCUGCCUCCCAAGUGCUUGGGAUUAAAGGCAUGCACCACCACUGCCC
ensembl:miRNA